GAUGAACGCUGGCGGCGUGCCUAAUACAUGCAAGUCGAGCGAACAGACGAGGAGCUUGCUCCUCUGACGUUAGCGGCGGACGGGUGAGUAACACGUGGAUAACCUACCUAUAAGACUGGGGUAACUUCGGGAAACCGGAGCUAAUACCGGAUAAUAUAUUGAACCGCAUGGUUCAAUAGUGAAAGACGGUUUUGCUGUCACUUAUAGAUGGAUCCGCGCCGCAUUAGCUAGUUGGUAAGGUAACGGCUUACCAAGGCAACGAUGCGUAGCCGACCUGAGAGGGUGAUCGGCCACAUUGGAACUGAGACACGGUCCAGACUCCUACGGGAGGCAGCAGUAGGGAAUCUUCCGCAAUGGGCGAAAGCCUGACGGAGCAACGCCGCGUGAGUGAUGAAGGUCUUCGGAUCGUAAAACUCUGUUAUUAGGGAAGAACAAAUGUGUAAGUAACUAUGCACGUCUUGACGGUACCUAAUCAGAAAGCCACGGCUAACUACGUG
rnacentral:rRNA from 1 species